rnacentral:rRNA from 1 species
AGCAGUCGCCACGGGAAUACGAAGGGGGCUAGCGUUGCUCGGAAUUACUGGGCGUAAAGGGAGCGUAGGCGGGUCGUUUAGUCAGAGGUGAAAUCCCGGGGCUCAACCUCGGAACUGCCUUUGAUACUGGCGACCUUGAGUAUGGGAGAGGUAAGCGGAACUCCGAGUGUAGAGGUGAAAUUCGUAGAUAUUCGGAAGAACACCAGUGGCGAAGGCGACUUACUGGCCCAUUACUGACGCUGAGGCUCGAAAGCGUGGGGAGCGAACAGGAUUAGAUACCCCUGUAGUCCCUGUCUCUUAUAC